AUUCCAGCUCCAAUAGCGUAUAUUAAAGUUGUUGCAGUUAAAAAGCUCGUAGUUGGAUUUGUGGUGUUYGGCUGAGUCCCAGCAUUGUCUGGGGUCUCGUGUUGAACGCCAUCCUUGGGUGGAAGCAGUGUGGCAUUAGGUUGUCGUGCUGUGGAUGCCCAUCGUUUACUGUGAAAAAAUCAGCGCGUUCAAAGCAGGCUUAUGCCGUUGAAUGUAUUAGCAUGGAAUAAUAAGAUAGGACCUUGGUACUAUUUUGUUGGUUUGCGCACCGAGGUAAUGAUUAAUAGGGACAGUUGGGGGUAUUCGUAUUCCAUUGUCAGAGGUGAAAUUCUUGGAUUUCUGGAAGACGAACUACUGCGAAAGCAUUUACCAAGGAUGUUUUCAUUAAUCAAGAACGAAAGUUAGGGGAUCGAAGAUGAUUAGAUACCAUCGUAGUC
rnacentral:rRNA from 1 species